rnacentral:rRNA from 1 species
AGCGAACGCUGGCGGCAGGCCUAACACAUGCAAGUCGAACGAACUCUUCGGAGUUAGUGUCGGCCGGGUGUGUCACCCGUGGGAACGUGCCUUUUGGUUCGGCAUACCUCAGGGAAACUUGUGCUAAUACCAAAUGUGCCCUUCGGGGGAAAGAUUUAUUGCAAUUAGAGCGUCCCGCGUCUGAUUCGCUAGUUGGUGAGGUAACGGCUCACCAAGGCGACGAUCAGUAGCUGGUCUGAGAGGAUGACCAGCCACACUGAGACUGAGACACGGCCCAGACUCCUACGGGAGGCAGCAGUGGGGAAUCUUGCGCAAUGGGCGAAAGCCUGACGCAGCCAUGACGCGUGAAUGAUGAAGGUCGGAGGAUUGUAAAAUUCUUUCACCGGGGACGAUAAUGACGGUACCCGGAGAAGAAGCCCCGGCUAACUUCGUG